AGAUGGCGACCGGCGCACGGGUGAGUAACACGUAUCCAACCUGCCGAUAACUCGGGGAUAGCCUUUCGAAAGAAAGAUUAAUACCCGAUAGUAAUAAUGAAACCGCAUGGUCUUAUUAUUAAAGAAUUUCGGUUAUCGAUGGGGAUGCGUUCCAUUAGGCAGUUGGUGAGGUAACGGCUCACCAAACCUUCGAUGGAUAGGGGUUCUGAGAGGAAGGUCCCCCACAUUGGAACUGAGACACGGUCCAA
rnacentral:rRNA from 1 species